GAUACACGUAACGUAACAAAUUAAACUUUUGGUUGGAUUGUCCACCUUCUAAAAACCGAAGCAGCACGAAGUAAGUUUGUUUUCCGAGGAUUCUCUACAGGAGGAAGAAAGAAUCCAUUCCAAUCUAGUCAUGGCGAUCGCCGUGGUGGGCGUUUGUUGUUCCGGCAUUGUAUAGUUGUGUUGUGGAUGCUGUGUAGACAAAUGUGUGAUGUUCUGUGCGCGUUCUUUCCUACAUUCGGUGGUGAUUGGUGACAAGCGAAAUAACUUGCAGGAAUUCGCGUCCGCCUUCUCUGCUAUUUUCCUGCGGUGAACCAUCAUGUGUUCAGCUUGAACAUUCUUUCUGUGAAACGGCGUCCAUGCUAGCUUAUGUCAGAUUUAUUGAGCUGUAAUUUGCUCCGUCGCAAGCCCGAAUGAGACUGAAUUUUCGUUUGUGCUGAAUGUUCGAACGUUUCAUACUGACUGCUGUUUGUUAUAAUAUCCCUGCAAUGAGGACACUUUGCAUGGCAUUUAGCCAAAUACCGUUCGGGCUUUCCUGACCCCCAAUGGAUUGCUUGCCGGUCGUUCGUCGUUACGCUGGUGGAAGCACACAGGGGAAGCUCACAGAGCGUUUAUACUGCGUGGCGUGGCCAUCCAAUCGAUCGUUUUCAAAUUGUGUUGUGGUUUUGCGGAAUCUGUUCCUCAAUUGAGGUCAUGAGAGAAGUCCUGAAACUUUCUUCUGUGCCCCAAAUGCUUACUGAAAUAGUAAACUUUGUAGUACGUCCUUGUUGGCAUCUAUAAAGCCUUUUUCAGCUUGGUACCCUUCCGUUAUUGGUGUCCGGCAUUGUCUGAAGAACACAUAGAUUUGCCUCAUAUAUUUUACCCAGAGCAGUAGCUUUUUGUGUCCCAGGUGCGACAAUGCUAGAAAUCGGUAGGUUGGUCCAGGGAAUUUAAAAUCUGUAUUACUGAAUAGUGUAAAGGUAUCUUUUGCGAUACGCUGUUGUACUAUUUAUCAGUUCAGCAGACGUUGGACUAAGUGUAAGGCUCAAAGCAAUCUUAAAGCCAGAAGUUGUCCGUCCUGGUUCGGCUUUCGACCUCCAGGCUUCAAGAAAACAGCAUAAGAUGUUUAUCAGCAGCAAGCACACAGUCCGUCUGUACUGAAAAUCAGCGCUCGUACGUGAUAUGUGCCACGUGGUCAUUUUGAAAAGGGGCUGCCAUUUUUGGCCGCAAAAGCCAACUGCUAUACAGACAUUGCACGACUUACUGCAGUUCUUGCAAUAAACCGUAACCAUUCAUCCGUGUACGAAGUGUGGCAAGAAAAACUCUCCUCGUAAAAGGCUUGGCUCUCUUACGAGGAGGCACGGAGCAUGGAGCACUCGGAGGCCGGGCAUUAUGAAGACAUGCCCUGCUGUUCUCGCUGCUGCCGACCACGCACAUUUUCCGUGUAGUCGUCACCAUCUUGAACCGUGGAACUUCCAGUACGGGGGAAAACAUUGUUUUGCCCUUGCCGCAUAACUGGCAGGUGUUUCCGUUUUUCUGACGGUUGUCAGUCCUUGCUUUGCUUUUACAUUUUUUCGGGGUUGUUCCGGGUUGUAACUUGUAGUGUCUCGAAUUUUUCGCGUCACGUACCGGACGUGUGAACUACGUCGCCGGAGACGAGUAAACAAAAAACGCCUACAGUAAACAAGCUAUGAGAAAUCCUCGAUGGAAAGCCCUAACGAGCGGAUUUCGUGCCCGUUUUUCUCCGACAGAGCCAUACGGCGUGUUCUUCCAUCCGGCGAACCGCCCCUUCCGCACCGAAGGCUACGCCGGUCCGCUGCGGCUCGCACCCGAGCUCCCAGCGGGCCGCAGGGGGCGGGUGCCACGCCUCCGCGAGGAAGGCAAGCACCGGUGCCCCUUCUGCCCCUACUCCACCAACGACAGGACCCGCUUCGCCUGUCAUGAGAGGACCCACACUGGGGAGCGGCCCUUUGUGUGCUCCACGUGCGGGAAGGGCUUCGCGCAGAAGGGGGACCUCAACAUCCACCAGAGGAUCCACAUGCGCGUGGAGCCGUUCGUGUGCCGGACGUGCGGAAGGGACUUUGUGCACAAGCGGAGCUACAAGAGACACAAGGUGCUCUUGCGUCACUGAUGUGGUGGGGUGUCACGAGUGAGCCAAGGGUGCGUCGCCAAGGUGCCCGGAAUGAGUCUUUAACUGUGCGUUCAGCAUUCGUUUUGAAGCGGCGACAAACGACAUCACAGGGGACGGCGUUUGUGUGGUCGUACGUCGCGGUCCCGGCGGUUGGCCAUAGACGUUCCGGCGAGAGGCGUGGGCAAACAGAAGUAUUGCCGUCGUCGCGGCAUCCCAGCUUGUGGCUGUCGAAACGUCCGCAGACUGCGAAGCUAAGAAGGGACCUGCGUUAGAACGUCUGUCUGCCACUGCCGGGAUUACGGCAGACGGCAGCGCAACGCUUCUACGACGUCGUCGGGUCAAGGGACCUCGUUUGAGGUCGGCUGCUAAACACAUCGGUCAAAAAUGCGUUCCAGGUACCAAAACAUUUUUUAGAUGUUCCUCCUCCGUCUUGCGAGUUGCAUGAAGGCAGACACCGUAGUGUCUGGCGCUCCGCCAUUCUCCAUCGAAGUUGCCCUUUUGGUAUGGAUGAUUGCGAAGGUUUACAAGCAAGGCGGUAAUUUUCUUGCAUUGUGUCGUCUGCCACUUCUGGAAACUCUUCGGGCAUUUGUUGGGUGCCACGGACGGUAUGGCGUGCCAUUCUCCGCCGUUUUUGUGCUCUCUCGUGAUUGUACUUUGGGGUACCACAAUGGAAAGGGUACAAGUGAGUGCCCCCAUUUUGUGUGCUUUGUGCCAGCAGUGGGAACGGGUUCUCAAACCAGGGGGUCACUGUUCAGUGCUUAAUAAUCUUAGGUUUACCUGGUUGUAGUGGGUGGCAGGUCAAUUUUAUCGUACCUCCUGACAAACACGGACGACUUAGUCAAGAAGCGAGAAUGCAGGUCGUCUAUAUCUUGUGUUGGCAAAGGUGGACACCAUAUUUCAAGAUGUGGUUCAAAGGGCAUGCUCCGAACAAACUCAUUUGUCACGUGACAAGAAUGACAGUCUUGACAGUAUGGAACGCAGGCUGUGAAAGCAAAGUGAAGGCUUAAUGUUGGCAUGUGUUCUACGUCGACUAGUUCAACUAUGGCCCAGUAGUGAAGACUUCUGGACGAAAACUCUAAAAUAUGUGGAAUUGUCAACUGCUAUCUGAAACAAUUAAACAUUUUUAGUUACUUUUGUAUUGAGAAACUGAGCACUAGUGAUCAAUUAAAAUGGCGUUCCCUCCCUCAAGAAGUAAAGUCAGCGUUAAUUUGGAACACUACUAUACUCUUCCAGAAACAGGAUUUUCUGCCUGCAUUGCAUGGAAACAAGCUGCAACAACAUUCUUUUCUUACCAGUUUCUGUAGUUCAUUCCCUUCUAAUACUUUUUUUUUUUCACUCCAGGUUGUAAUGUCAAUGUUUAAAUAUUAAUGAAAUUUACCCACACUGGCAGAGAAUGACUUAAAAUAAAUUAAAAAUUAGUGAACAGUACUGCGAACAUGAAUGAAGAAAGACCGAUGUCCUUUCAUCUCAUUUUUAUAGCAUGCAUGUUUUUUUUGUGUGGGAAAGGAGGGCAUUUUAUGCUAUUUCUACUAUGUAUUUGUUUCCUUGUUUGUCUAAAUAAAAGUCAUUGUCAGCGAGGCAUA